rnacentral:rRNA from 1 species
GAUGAACGCUGGCGGCGUGCCUAAUACAUGCAAGUCGAGCGAACGGACGAGAAGCUUGCUUUUCUGAUGUUAGCGGCGGACGGGUGAGUAACACGUGGAUAACCUACCUAUAAGACUGGGAUAACUUCGGGAAACCGGAGCUAAUACCGGAUAAUAUUUUGAACCGCAUGGUUCAAAAGUGAAAGACGGUCUUGCUGUCUCGUAUAGAUGGAUCCGCGCUGCAUUAGCUAGUUGGUAAGGUAACGGCUUACCAAGGCAACGAUGCAUAGACGACCUGAGUGGGUGGUAGCCCACCCGGGAACGGAGACACGGUCCAGACUACUACGGGAGGGAGCAGUCGGGAAUCUUACGCAAUGGGCGAGAGCCUUACGCAGCAGCGGGGCGUGAGAGAUGAAGGUCUUCGGAUCGUAAAGCUCUGUUAUGAGGGAAGAACAUAUGUGUAAGUAACUGUGCACAUCUUGACGGUACCUAAUAAGAAAGCCACGGCUAACUACGUG